rnacentral:tRNA from 1 species
GGCCCUGUAGUUCAAUGGAUAGACUCGAGGUUUCCUAAACCGUUGAUCCGGGUUCGAUUCCCGGCGGGGCUC